ACUCAAAUGAAUUGACGGGGGCCCGCACAAGCGGUGGAGCAUGUGGUUUAAUUCGAUGCAACGCGAAGAACCUUACCUACCCUUGACAUCCUCGGAAUCUUGCAGAGAUGCAGGAGUGCCUUCGGGAGCCGAGAGACAGGUGCUGCAUGGCUGUCGUCAGCUCGUGUUGUGAGAUGUUGGGUUAAGUCCCGUAACGAGCGCAACCCCUGUCCUUAGUUGCCAACACGUAAAGGUGGGAACUCUAAGGAGACUGCCGGUGACAAACCGGAGGAAGGUGGGGAUGACGUCAAGUCAUCAUGGCCUUUAUGGGUAGGGCCACACACGUGCUACAAUGGCCGGUACAAAGGGAAGCGAACACGCGAGUGGGAGCAAAUCUCAGAAAACCGGUCGUAGUCCGGAUUGGAGUCUGGAACUCGACUCCAUGAAGUUGGAAUCGCUAGUAAUCGCGGAUCAGAACGCCGCGGUGAAUACGUUCCCGGGCCUUGUACACACCGCCCGU
rnacentral:rRNA from 1 species